AUGAGACGCGGUCAGCCGCACAGCAUUGACAUCAACUGGGACAACAUCCCGGUGCCGGCUUGCGAUCUCACCGAGCUUGGAGCUGCCUUCACGGAGGAAGAGGUGAAAAAGGUGAUUUUUGAUCUCCCCAGUGACAAAGCACCGGGACCGGAUGGCUUCUCUGGGGCCUUCUUCAAAGCGUGUUGGGAGAUCAUAAAAGAUGAUGUUUUGCUUGCUGUCAAUCACUUUUCCAAUCUGCGCUCCACGAACUUAAACUGGCUCAACUCGGCGAACAUUGCUCUCAUCCCCAAGAAGGAUGGUGCGGAAUGCAUCUCAGAUUUUCGCCCCAUUAGCCUCAUCCACGCCAUC
rnacentral:rRNA from 1 species